rnacentral:rRNA from 1 species
UGGGGAAUAUUGGACAAUGGGGGCAACCCUGAUCCAGCCAUGCCGCGUGAGUGAUGAAGGCCCUAGGGUUGUAAAGCUCUUUUGUGCGGGAAGAUAAUGACGGUACCGCAAGAAUAAGCCCCGGCUAACUUCGUGCCAGCAGCCGCGGUAAUACGAAGGGGGCUAGCGUUGCUCGGAAUCACUGGGCGUAAAGGGUGCGUAGGCGGGUUUCUAAGUCAGAGGUGAAAGCCUGGAGCUCAACUCCAGAACUGCCUUUGAUACUGAAAGUCUUGAGUAUGGCAGAGGUNAGUGGAACUGCGAGUGUAGAGGUGAAAUUCGUAGAUAUUCGCAAGAACACCAGUGGCGAAGGCGGCUCACUGGGCCAUUACUGACGCUGAGGCACGAAAGCGUGGGGAGCAAACAGGAUUAGAUACCCUGGUAGUCCACGCCGUAACGAUGAAUGCCAGCCNUUAGUGGGUUUUACUCACUAGUGGCGCAGCUAACGCUUUAAGCAUUCCGCCUGGGGAGUACGGUCGCAAGAUUAAAACUUAAGGAUUGACGGGGUCAUAGCUGUUUCCU